rnacentral:rRNA from 1 species
AGUGAACGCUGGCGGUAGGCCUAACACAUGCAAGUCGAACGGCAGCACAGUAAGAGCUUGCUCUUACGGGUGGCGAGUGGCGGACGGGUGAGGAAUACAUCGGAAUCUACUUUUUCGUGGGGGAUAACGUAGGGAAACUUACGCUAAUACCGCAUACGACCUACGGGUGAAAGCAGGGGAUCUUCGGACCUUGCGCGAUUGAAUGAGCCGAUGUCGGAUUAGCUAGUUGGCGGGGUAAAGGCUCACCAAGGCGACGAUCCGUAGCUGGUCUGAGAGGAUGAUCGGCCACACUGGAACUGAGACACGGUCCAGACUCCUACGGGAGGCAGCAGUGGGGAAUAUUGGACAAUGGGCGCAAGCCUGAUCCAGCCAUACCGCGUGGGUGAAGAAGGCCUUCGGGUUGUAAAGCCCUUUUGUUGGGAAAGAAAAGCAGCAGGUUAAUACCCCGCUGUUCUGACGGUACCCAAAGAAUAAGCACCGGCUAACUUCGUG